CCCCAUCAAUCGUCUUUAUCUCCCAUCCAUGGUCCCUCUCAAAUCUAUUCCUUUCAGCAUAUGCUUCUCCACUCAUAUAUGGAUGGAGGAUGGUUGUACUGCUGAUGUAAUUCACGAAAAAUUCCUGCAUCUUUUCAGGCAGCAAGUAUUUACAACAUACAGCCUGAUCAAACCGUUCUAUGAGGAUAUAAAAUGAACUGUUCGUUUCAAAUGUCUGAGCCUCGUGUGAGACUUCUUUCCUUCAUUUCUGGGCCAGUUCAACAACAAAAUCAACAGGAAGAGGAUGGCGCAAACCUGUUUGCUGCCGGAUGCAUUCUUGGGGUAAUAAGUUCCUGUGAGGAUCCCUAUGGCGUGGAUGUGAUUUAGACUGAAUAAGAACUGAUUCUGCAGCAUUCGUGCUCGCUGAUUUCACAGCCUGCCCAGAGAUUCCUUUCCUUUCACAGCAUGAGCAUUCUUCACGACACUGAAUACGAAACCGCUAGGAAUGCUCAGAAAUAUGACCCAAACGAUAAAAUAUGUGAAGUUCAUCAAUAUCCAACGUAUCAGUGGCUGCUGGCUGCACUCCAUCGGAUCCACUAGAGCAGUGCACAUCAUUCCUGCAAUGCUUUUCACUCCUUGUAGUCACAAGAAUCGCACUUUCUCUAGCACAGCAUGUAAAAGGACUUCUAAAGGUCUCCCACUCCAAGGAAUUCUCACUCGAACAAGUAGUCUUCUUGAUCUCGAAGUGCUUGUUCGUGAAUCGAGCUCUGACUGCAAAUGUUAGUUUCUUUGAUUUUGACUUCUUUAAAUUGCGGACAAUGAUGAUCAAAGCUUUGCUCCUCUCAAUUUCACCGAGCUUCAAUCACGUCGAUCGGAGGUUCAAUUUUGGAUUUUGUCAUCUCCAAUUCCAAAUUUCAUCUCUAUCUCCCUCUUGGUCUCUCUGUCUUCAUCUAUCUCUAGUGUGGUUGUUUACUGCCACAAUGGAGCAAGCAAACCUGUUGGUGGAUCCAUGAAAACGCUAACCGUAGGUUUGAUAUCUCUAGCUCAAUAUCUUCAUCUAUCAUUUGAAUGAUAAAUCACCAAUUCCAUAGCUUCUAAUGAUAUUUCAGAUGUUAUGCCAUGUCUAGUCUCUAUUUGAUAUUUUGUGUCAUUGUUCUGUUCUGCUGCUUCGUUGUUUUUGAUCUGUUUGACUGCAAUUGCAGAAUAUAUUAAGCUUCGAAAAUGAUUUUGUACAGAAUUACUGAGUCCGUUACUAAUGAUUGAAGCUGCUAGUUUGCUUACUUGUCGAGGUUAUGCGAAGGUAAAUUUAGAUAUUUUUUUUGUAGAUAAGUGUGCGUGGACUUUAGUCGGGAUAUCUAGAAGUUUUCUGUUCUGGAUUUGAAGUCUCUGCUUCUGAUCGCUAUAGAUUAAUCCUGUGGAUAUAUGUUUGUUUGAUUAGCUCAAAUCUCUUUUAGUUCAUCUUUUUGCGUAACUUUUCUGUGCGUAGAUGAUCAAAUGUAUCAUAUGGGAAUAAUGGGACUCAUUGCUUCGGAUAUGCCUGAUAUUGACUGGGAAUAUGGGAAUAAUGGCAACUUCUUGUUGUUCCCUGAAUAUGGGUUGUUUCUAAGAUUUGAAUAAAGUUGUAAGUCUCUUAUAUCUUGCAUUUCUGAUGCACAAUAGCCACAAAGAUCUCAAACUAAGGUUCUCCAUCUGAACGUCUUCUAUGUGAGAUUUAAGCAGAAAAUUAGAUAUUCAGAAAUGUGUAGGCUAUCUUCUGACUAGCUUUGUCGAAUUCUGAUAAUGUUGCAGGGGAUUUUGAGUUUGAGUGUGGAGCCAUGCAUUGGCAAGACUCUCAUAGUUACUCCUUUUAUAUUCAAUGGGUCUGAGCUUACCUUGUUGCCUGAAGAAGGAAAAUUCCUGCAUUUAUCGAGAGGGAACUUGAGUUUAGAUUUAUCGCUGUUUUGCUUCGCACACUUGACAUAUGAUAAUCUAGCUGCCCAUGCAAGUUGACCUUUUUUCAUGUUUAAAUGAUCUUAUGGUGCUUUCUCUUUGCAUUUUAUGGCUAGCCAGUGUGCUUUGUCGACUAAAUUUCUGAUUAGUGGUAACAAUGGGCUACAGGCGUUAUGUGCUUUUAUAGUGAUGAGGAAUUCUUUCAAGUCAGAUAUAAAGGUAGUCAUUCUCACCAACCUUGAAGAUGCCGUUCGCAUACAUGUUGAUGGGCUUCCUUAAUUAUAUAGGACCUGUCAAUAAUUUCAAGUCGGACUCUGUGGUGAUGGACAUGAGCAAGCCCUUCCUCAACGUUACGGUCUACGGCUUCCUCAAGAUCGGUGUUGUAAAUACGAGCGAAUCGCUCCACCAAUUUCCAUCUCCAUAUUUUGCACCCUCGAUUUCCACUGUUUCAUUAUUCGCUCAAUUGUCUGAAGAAUUCUCAAAUGCAGUGACCAGAGUAGCUGCUGAGGAUGCCUACUACUACAUUAAGAGAGGUCUUCGCCUUAUCCUUAUUACUCAUGGAAUAGUCGAUGGCACUACCUGAGAUAAUGAAUUUCAUGUAAUUAAUAGCUUUGACUUGUAGUUGAAUUCAUGAGGAACUUGUGGAGGAAGUUUAUCCUACAACAAGAUUAGCACUCAGUGAGUAAUCUCAGGCUACCUAUUUGGUCUGAUCUGCCUGUACUUUCUGUAUUUGAUGUAAGGUUUGAACUUGUAAUUUACUGAUGAAUGAGUGAAUUCUUUGUACAUAUAAAGGCCAUUAUGCUGUUUCGACAUGGUUUCCUGUAUAAUUGAUUUGUAUUGCUAAUGCUUUGGAACUUCAAUGGAGGGAGAUGAUGUGAUUCAUCUUAUCAAUGCAGUUGAAGAUGUACAAAGAAGGUGUCUACUGGGGGAAGUGUUGCUGGUGUUUAUGACAGGAUGUAGUAUGGAGUAGAGAGGAUCCGGGGUACAAGAGACUGGGUUGCCGUAAUGAAGCUUUUACGAGAGAAUAAUUUUUACCGAAUAGCCUUUAUUUUUUGUUAGUUUAGAGACAAUGUUAUGGAUACUUUUGACUACACAUUGAUAAGCAAAUAUUGUGUAUGCUUUUGCCCUGGAUUAUCAGUACAAUUACUCUUCUUACAUUUUAUUAA